AUUGAACGCUGGCGGCAGGCCUGACACAUGCAAGUCGAGCGGAUGAAGGGAGCUUGCUCCUGGAUUCAGCGGCGGACGGGUGAGUAAUGCCUAGGAAUCUGCCUGGUAGUGGGGGAUAACGUCCGGAAACGGGCGCUAAUACCGCAUACGUCCUGAGGGAGAAAGUGGGGGAUCUUCGGACCUCACGCUAUCAGAUGAGCCUAGGUCGGAUUAGCUAGUUGGUGGGGUAAAGGCCUACCAAGGCGACGAUCCGUAACUGGUCUGAGAGGAUGAUCAGUCACACUGGAACUGAGACACGGUCCAGACUCCUACGGGAGGCAGCAGUGGGGAAUAUUGGACAAUGGGCGAAAGCCUGAUCCAGCCAUGCCGCGUGUGUGAAGAAGGUCUGCGGAUUGUAAAGCACUUUAAGUUGGGAGGAAGGGCAGUAAGUUAAUACCUUGCUGUUUUGACGUUACCAACAGAAUAAGCACCGGCUAACUUCGU
rnacentral:rRNA from 1 species